ACAUUUUAGCUUGCUUGUUGCUGGGGAAAAGACUUGCUGCUUUGUGUUUCAUUUGAUGAAGAGCUUCUUUUCAUUUAGUCAGUCACUUAUUUCCAGAGAUUUCCUGGUGAUGUUGCCUCACAUUUAUUUGUGGAAAUGCCAGUAUGUUUUAAGCUUGCAGAUGGAGUUUCACUCUCGUCGCCCAGGCUGGAGUACAAUGGCGCGAUCUUGGCUCACUGCAACCUCCACCUCCCCAGUUCAAGUGAUUCUCCUACCUCAGCCUCCCAAGUAGCUGGGAUUACAGCUUCCAUAAGUCAGGAUUCCAGUCACAGCUUAGCUGGAUCCUCUCAGAAGGCUACGAUCAAGGUGUCAGCCAGACUGAGUUCUCAUCAGAGGCUCGACUAGGAGAGGAUCUGCUUCCAAGUUCCCUCAGGUUGUUGGAAGGAUUCAUUUUCUUGUGGCUAAGCUCACAGGAGCUUUCUUCUUCAAGGGCAUCAGGAGAGUGGAGAGCGAGUCUACUCAAAGACUUCUAUACAAAUCAUAAGUGCAAUACUGUAAACUUUGAGUAACAUCAUGAGACCUAUAUGAAGUGCCACUAAUGAUGCUGGAAAUGCUCCCAAGAAGCAUAGAAAAGUCAUGACAUUAUGAGAAAAAGUUGAUUUGCUUGAUAUGUACCAUAGACUAAGAUCUGCAGCUGCAGUUGCCCACCAUUUCAAAUGAAUCCACUGUAAGGACCAUUAUAUAAAAAGAAAAGAAAAUGUGUGAAGCUGUCACUGCAGCUAUACCAGCAGGCACAAAAACCUUGCACUUUUUGCGAAAUACCUUUUUAUCUCAUAUUGAAAAAUGCAGCUUUUAUGUGUGUGCAGGAUUGCUAUAAGAAAGGCAUACCUAUAGACUUUGAGAUUAAAUUUAAUUUAAGAUUUGAGAAAAGCAAAGUCAUUAUAUGACAGUUUAAAGCAAAAUGAAGGUGAAAGAUCUAAAACUGGAGAAUUUAAUGUCAGCAAAAGAUGGUUUGAUAAUUUUAGAAAGAGGUUUGGCUUUAAAAAUGUCAAGCUAAUAGGAGAAGCAGCUUCUGCCAACCAAGAGGCAGCAGAUAAGCUGCCAGACACCAUUAAGAAAAUUGUUAAAGAGAAAGGACAUCUCCCUGAACAGGUUUUUAAUGCAGACAAAAGAGCCAUAUUCUAUUUUUUUAAAGUGCCACAAAGGACAUUUAUUUUGCAAAUGCAGUUGCGUUUAUGAUCAGGACUUCCCUUGUCUAUAAAGCUGCUAACCUUUGAGCCUUGAAAAGAAAGGUAAGCACCAGUUGCCAGUAUUUCGGCUGUACAACAAGAAAGCCUGGACAAUGAGAACACUUUUUCUGGACUGGUUCCAUCUAUGCUUCAUCUUUGAAGUCAGCAAGUAUCUUGCCAUUAAGCGAUUGCCUUUUAAAGUUCUUUUGAUAUUGGACAAUGUUCCUGGCCACUCAAAACCACGUGAGUUCAACACCUAAGGUGUCGAAGUGGUCUGUUUGCCUGAAAACACAAUGUUUCUAAUUCAGCCUCUAGAUCAGAGGUUAUAAGGGUCUUUAAGUCUCAUUACACAUGGUUCUCUAUGGAAGGGACUGUCAAUGCUAUGGAAGAGAACAUCGACAGAGGUAGCAUCUUGAAAAGCUGGAAGGAUUACAUCAUUGAAGAUAACAUUGUUGCUAUAGAAAAAGCUGUCGAAGCCAUCAAGCCCAACUAAAUUCCUGCUGAAGGAAACUGUUUCCAGAUGUUGUGCAUGACUUCACAGAAUUUAUAACAGAGUCAAUCAAGGAAAUCAUAAAAGAAAUUGUGAAUAUGACAAAAAGGGUGGUGGAUGAAGAAUUUCAAGAUACAGAUCUUGUAGAAAUUCAAGAGCUAAUAGACAUCACACCAAAGGAAUUAACAGAAGACAACUUGAUGGAGAUGAGUGCUUCUGAACCAGUGCCAGAUGAUGAAAAAGAAGAUGUUGAAGAAGCUGUGCCAGAAAACAAAUUGACAUUGGACAAUCUGAUGGAAGCAUCCCAAUUUUUCAAGACUUAUUUUGACUUAUUUUACAACAUGGGCCCUUCUAUAAUAUGGGCACUGAAAUGAAAGCAAACAGUGGGAGAAGGAUUGGUAUCAUAUAGAAACAUUUUUAUAGAAAUGAAAAAGCAAAAAAGUCACAUUGCAAUGUAUUUCCAUAAAGCUACACCAAUUGUGUCUGCCUUUCUUGCCUUCCCUUUCUCCUCCUCCACCUCUUCCACCUUUGCCACUCUGAAACAGCAAGACUAACCCCUCAUCUUCCUCCUCUUCCUCAGCCUACUCAACAUGAAGACAACAAAGAUGAAGACCUUCCUAAUGAUCCACUUCCACUUAAUGACCAGCAAAUAGAUUUGCCUAUCUUAUAAUUUUCUUAAUAACAUUUUCUUUUCUCUAGCUUUCCUUAUUGUAAAUGUAGAGUAUACAGUGCAUAUGAUAUAGAAAAUAUGUGUUAGUCAACUGUUUAUGUUAUCAGUAAGGCUUCCAGUCAAUAGUAGGCUAUUAGUAGUUAUGUUUUGGGGGGAAGUAAUAAGUUAUACAUGAAUUUUUGACUGGGUAAGCUGUCAGUACCCCUAACUCCCACAUUAUUCUAGGGUUAACACUGCCACGAUAUUACCUUCCUAGAUAUAUUGCUGAUCUGUUUCAGACCUUCAUCAUAUAUUAUUUAGACAACUAAAAUACAAUUAAUUCAGUUAUUGAUUAGCUUUACGAAUAUCAGUUGAGUUCUCUACUAUAUGCCAAACUCUUUACUAGUUACUGAAGCACUUUAUUAGAAUAAGACAUGUUUUUCUUGCCUUCAAGAAUCUUACAUUUGAAUUAGAGUUACAUAUGCAAGUAAUUAAUUACAAUGUAAUGUUAUAGAUGGAUAAUAAAAAAUAAUCAUGAAAGCAGAGGAAGGAGACUCCUUGGUUAUCUGGGGGAAGAAGAACUUCACAGAAGCUGAUAUUUGAAGUGUUUUGAAG
rnacentral:lncRNA from 1 species